UACCAGCACCCCGAGUGGUCGGGACGUUUUAUUGGGCCUAAAGCAUCCGUAGCCGGUUCUACAAGUCUUCCGUUAAAUCCACCUGCUUAACAGGUGGGCUGCGGAAGAUACUAUGGAGCUAGGAGGCGGGAGAGGCAAGCGGUACUCGAUGGGUAGGGGUAAAAUCCGUUGAUCCAUUGAAGACCACCAGUGGCGAAGGCGGCUUGCCAGAACGCGCUCGACGGUGAGGGAUGAAAGCUGGGGGAGCAAAUCGG
rnacentral:rRNA from 1 species